rnacentral:rRNA from 1 species
UACGUAGGUGGCAAGCGUUGUCCGGAUUUACUGGGCGUAAAGAGCGCGCAGGCGGUCGAUUUAGUCGCGUGUGAAAGCCCCCGGCUCAACUGGGGAGGGUCACGCGAUACUGAUCGACUCGAAGGCAGGAGAGGGUAGUGGAAUUCCAGGUGUAGCGGUGAAAUGCGUAGAUAUCUGGAGGAAUACCGGUGGCGAAGGCGGCAUCCUGGACCGACAUUGACGCUGAGGAGCGAAAGCUAGGGGAGCAAACGGG